AGAGCAGUGAAUAAGGCUGGAGAAGCAGAGUGUGUGUGUGAAUGGCUCAUCUGAUUUGGGAAAGUGUCCACAAACUAGGAUACUACAGUCUACCGAACAGCUUGGGCACCCCUUAGGAUUCCAUCUCCCAGUGGUGUUCAGGGUACAGCUCAGAGAACCCAGACUAGGUUGUACAGAGAUUCUUAGCUGUGAAGUCAGACUGGCCUGAUGGCAUGCUGCAUCCAACUUCAGCUCAGAGUCUGGAGGCAAUAAAGACCUUGCCAGGGAGCAGCUUUCCGUUCAAUACACCCAGAGGUCAAUGGAGAAGCUGCUUCUUGACACUGACCUACAGAAGACAGAGGCUUGCAUGACGCAGUUUGUGUAUCUGUAUGUAACAUCCGUACUGACCUGCCACUAGUGGGCCAGAAGGAAGGCGUGUAUCAAACGUGGGCGCUCUUAGGAAAACAAGACAAAACGCUGUAAUGUACUGUCUGAAAAAAAGGCAUCUCUGGAGGAAAAAGUCAACUUAAUCUAAUGAAAACUUUAGCUGGAAUAAUCUACACUCUUCAACAGCUGCAGAUGUGCACACAAGAGACAAUUGCCUUGUUAUGGGUGUUUUCUCACAUGUGUUAUCCUAAUUAGAGAUCCAAAUGCAAACUGCAGAAUAGUAUGUGGAUUUCUGACACGUCCUGGAGGGCUUUGAGCCCAUAAACAAUUGAUGGAGACAGGCAUCACUAUAGUAUUUCUUCAAUGAAAGAUAUAAUAGUGCUCCAGUAUUGUUCGUGUUAUUAUGUAAAGGGAACUGUACCAACUUCUUUCAAACCAGCACUCUUACCUUGCGGAGGAAAAGAAGCCUGUUUAAGCAUAAACAAACUGACAAUUAGUUAAUCUUCUCUCCUCCCACUCAAUUCAGUGCUCAGGAACUAACAUCAAUAUUGACCUUGGCAUUGGACAUAAGGAGUGAGCGUGGGGUUCUCAUUACCUUCGUUCUCAUUUUGUAACAGAACCCAUUGACAUAUGAGUCUUUAUGGGCCAGAUGGGCCAGUGCUCCAAGCAACAGUAAAUGAGGGCAAACACGAAGUGGCCAGAAGUUAGAGAAAAGGAGCCACAGAUGAGUCCAGUUUGGAUUUGACAUGAUGGAUUGAAAAUGCUAGUCAUGAAUACUAAUUGCCAAAGGUGGCGUUUUGCACCUCUGCACCUGGUUAGGACUCUGACUCCUGGGAGCUGUGAACAGUGGGGCGCCUAGCUGCUCCCUGGCCUCUGCACCACUGUGCCCCCUGCAUUCCGACAUGGCCGGUGUAAUAAGGAUGCUGGAAGAGACUGAACUUUAUGUCCUGUCCUCAGUCACAUGACCUGGAGCAGGGUCACAAAGGUCAAUAUCCCUGGAGGGCUGUAACCACUUGCUAGACACUCCAUAUAUGAUAGGUGCAGUAUACACCACAUCAAUGGGUAGUACGUGCAUGGUUUCAAUAUACAUUAUAUAUGUAUAUGUGUUGGGAAGUAAACUGAAUAUAUUAUGCUCUUCGCACCAUUCUAUUUACCCAUGGUAUGUAUUCCACAACACUUUGCAAAGCUGAGGUCAGCUUUGACAACAGAAAACAGGAAGUCUGUCAAAGCCAAGAUACAUGAAUGGUGUGCCCUAGCCCAGGCUGCACCUGUACACCCCACUGUUUGGAAUGUGGCAUACAAAACUGAGCUAAGGGAAGGUAUAGACCAGCAUGUUAAGGAAUUAGUGGGUUGGAUCUUAGGUGAGCUAUAAAGUGCUCUUUAACAUGUAAAAAGCCAUGACAUAAAUGUAAGUUGUUUUGUGGGAGGAGUCUUUGAAGCAUACCUUCUGUGUAAGGUGAACAUCCUGUGAGACAAGAAUUGCUUCCCAGACAGAGGGUAUGUACGUCUCCUUUGUGUUUUGUCUUUAGAUGGUAAAUUUGGCUAAAUUUGGUUAGUUGGUCUCUUGAACAUUCUUAAUAAUGAACGCAAGCAUAUUCAAUCAGUUGGCUAUACUAUUAAUCAACAAACUGACUCCAGCGGUUAGCUGCAUGAGAUACUUACAGCUUUGCCUGUUUGGUGCCAGUGCUCUAGCCCUCUUGCAGAAGCUGAGGACAGGGAUUUUACUUCAGGCCUUUACGGGGACCCAGCUGCAACAUUUCAGUUGUGAUCCAAGGCAACCAAAAGAGCAAAUUCAUCACUGACUGGUACGCUGCCUUCUAAAUAAUUUCUCAGGUUCUCUCUCCAUCUAUUCCCAACAGAUCUGACUAUGUUAGUUUGAAGUUGUUUUCCUGACAGACUAAGGGAAAUACUCCCAGCUCAUUGUUAACAUCACUGUCAGAAUGUUUAUGAGAGAUAGAAUAAUAAUGACAGACAGUAGAUUGUAACAUAAUUAUAAUCUCUAUAGAUGAUUAGCUGAGUGGGUAAGGCAAAUAUUGGAUCUGAACAAGUAACUGCCAGUUGAGGAUGAUGAUGGGAAAUAUUUAUAAAACACUGGCACAUCCACUUAAAGUAUCCCCGGAGCAAUUAACAAAUCUGAGCUUCAUAUAUUCUCUGAUUUCAUCUGAUGACAUCACCAAGUCACUUAUAUUCUUUCAUGCUACAACAGCAGAAAAAUCAUUGUGUGGGUUCUGAUUAUGAUCAUCACUGUGUAAAUCAUUUGGACAUUUCACUCUUUUUCUAUCAGUUCACACAAAAGAAACCACUUGGGUAGCCAGGAGUCAAGUGCGAAAAGUAGACGUCUGAGUUAUUUCACUAACUCUUCUUUGCUGCCUCUGGCAUAUCCUGUUGGCUUGAGUCUCUGGCGUUUUCAGAAACAUUUUUGGUCAGGAUGAUCUUUAUUUGUUGUUAUUAACUGGAAAGAAUUUGCACUUUGUAAUCUCUCUUAUUUCCCUUUUUUUUAAAAAAAAAUUUCUAUUGGUACCCAGAAGACCUUGUGAUGUCACAGCCAGAUACAUACAAUGUGAUUACAGAUGGAAAUACACUGGAAAAGACACUAUUUGUCUGGAUGCAGGAAGCAAAGUGCCGGAUGGAGAAUGAGACUCACUUUUUUAAAGAUACAGGAUCACUAGAUAAAACCAUAAAUAUUAGAAGAACAUUCAACCACUUCUGAACAUAUAAAAAUGCAUAUUAAACACUUGGACGCAUUUCUUUUCCUCUUUGACCAAGUGAAGUUAACUAAGGCAUCCAGGAGCUCAGUCGUGUAGAAUAGGAACUCUGUACCAUAUAUGCCAAUCUCUAGAAAAAAAAAUUUGACAAAAUCCAGGAAGUGGUGUAGACAUCAGGUGAGAUAAACUGGCUGUAUGUAGAAUGUGAAAGCCUUCUCUAAGUGACUUGUCUGCCCUUUUCCUUGUAGCAAGCUAUUCUCUCAUCAGAUCCAAUAGUGCUACUCACCAGCGUUACUUCAUUGGCUUACAGGAAGUUGGCAGGAGAGUCUGGCUUGAUAUGUCCUCAGCUGAUGUUCACUUAACAGGUUUCUAAGGUACUAAUGUACAAAGUACUAAGGUACUAAAAACUAAUGUUUUUAUUUUAUUCCCCAAAUGAUUGUUUUUGAGUACAAGAAAACCCCAACUUAUGAUUCAAUAAAAUUUCUUUCUCUGAUUG